rnacentral:rRNA from 1 species
CCUACGGGUGGCAGCAGUCGGGAAUAUUGCGCAAUGGAGGAAACUCUGACGCAGUGACGCCGCGUGCAGGAAGAAGGUUUUCGGAUUGUAAACUUCUUUAUACAGGGAAGAAAAAUGACAGUAGCUAUAGAAUAAGCUCCGGCUAACUACGUGCCAGCAGCCGCGGUAAUACGUAGGGAGCAAGCGUUAUCCGGAAUUAUUGGGUGUAAAGGGUGCGUAGACGGGUAAGCAAGUGAGUUGUGAAAACCCUGGGCUUAACUGAGGAACUGCAAUUAAAACUACUUCCCUUGAGUACUGUAGAGGAAAGCGGAAUUCCUAGUGUAGCGGUGAAAUGCGUAGAUAUUAGGAGGAACACCAGUGGCGAAGGCGACUUACUGGACAGUAACUGACGUUGAGGCACGAAAGUGUGGGGAGCAAACAGGAUUAGAUACCCGAGUAGUC